ensembl:lncRNA
UUCUCUGUAAAGCAAAUAUAUUUAUUAUGCACUUUCAUUUACAUAGGGAUUUUCGCUUAAUAUAAUACAAGGAAUAAAAUAAAACUUUUACAAUGUGAAAUUCAAUGUACAUUUUUAGGCUAUUUACAUACCCCCAAACCAAGGGAAAAAUUCAAGAAGAAAAAGCAUUUGUCUGCGACUACAUUUGCUGCAAGGUGUAAAUGGAGGACAUUUAAAGUAAAACAAGUAUUUGCAUAGGCAAACAAUAUUGGAAAAAGUACUUACUCUUGUUUUUUGAGCAGUGAACUACUUUUGGUGAGGAUUCUGGUAGACAUGGGGGGUGAGGGGGAGGGACACAACAUUACUGGCUGUAUUGUGCAGAACACACUGAGUUCUGGUCCAUUUUCCUUCCAAAACCUUUCCUACACACAUGGAGACUUUAUUUUUCAUUACUGUAUAUAUACAUAUAUACAUAUACAUAUACAUAUAUAUAUAUAUAUGUGUGUGUAUAUAUAUAUCACUUCCUCUGCUACCAACUCAUGACUUUUAGGAAAGGAACACAAAUGGAAGGGUAUAAAACUGUUUAAAAGCAUGUGGCAUCACAGUUGUAUUGUGGCAGCAGGUGAUUUACAAAAUUUAACGUUUUUUAUUUAAAAAAUAGUUACUUAGGAGUUUUCUAUUCAUGGGACUAUUUUUACUCUCAAUGGAGCAGAAGCUAUUUUCGGUCAUGGUAUUAAAUAAAUCCCCACAGAAACCAGUAAGCAAAGCAGGGCUUCUUCCACCCCCAUAUUAGCCUUAUCCUAACUGAAAGCCACUGCUGUUCUAUUCCAAAACUUAGUUCAUAUAAAAACAUCCAGAGGAAUAUUUACUUCUGAAAAGCAUAUUUCUCCAACAGGUUCUCUUCCUACCAACUGUUUCAAGUGAAUAUAGUAUGGAUAUGAAAACACUGAGCUUUUCAGAAAACAGAAAUCCCUUGUGUCACGAGUCAUAUCUUUGCCCGUUGGCCACAAGGUGCAUUUUUGUAAAAACAAUAAAAUUAAAUAAAUACAAUUCCAAUAAUUCAAGGUUUAAUAGAAAAACUGGCAGCUUUCAAGAUUCUCUUUCUAAAGAAAAAUACACCUAAUAAGAAAUUAGAGCUUCCUCUUCUAAAUUAUGUAAAUGUACUGUAUUUGACAUAUGAGUAGAGUUGGUUCUAAUAAUAGGAUGUGUUCAUAGUUAUUAACAGAAUCAUUAACACUUUUAAGGCUACUUUGCAAGAGUCCUAUUAAGUGUAUUUAAUAAAUGUCCCAUAGGGACAAAAAUUCAACACUUGAAACAUUCACAUUUGAGUUAUAAAUAUUGCCAUGUCACCUUAAUAUUGAUUGAACUUAUCUCCUAUUCUGAUUAUGACUGACCGACGAUAUAAACACCCAAGUUUUGCUGACUUUAAAAAACAGAAGCAAACACAAAAGCCUUACAGGAAGAUCAAGUGAAACAUUUAUCACGACCAACUACAUAUUUCUGUUUCUGUGAACAGUGCAUCAUGUAUGUGUCUUUCAUAUAUGAAGAUGACAUUACUGACCUCAGAUACUAAGACAUUUUCUAAAGAUUUUUUUCCAGUAGUCGCAAUGGUUUUGUGCUGAAUCUCCAAAUUCUCUUUCCUAUUCCUCUUCAUCAACAGCACAUGGAAGGAAUAGAAUUUCUGGGUUUUGCAAGAUCCCAGGGCUUUUGCAAAGAUCAAACCUGCAACCUUGGUUUCUAAACAAUAAAUUUGACCCUCUCCAGACAU